rnacentral:lncRNA from 1 species
UCACAAAAGAGGUGAUUUCAUAUCACAAAAGAUGUUACAACAGUUGCAUGCAUCUUCAUAACGGGGCUACAUUAAAGUGGUCAUGGUUGCUACUUGCUAGUCACAUAUUACAUCUACAUCGGAGCUGUUGUAGCAGCAUGCUAUCAUACAUUGUUGCUCUGAUUGACUAAAAAUAGCAGCAAAGUUACAUAAUACAUCUUUGUCCGAGUCAUUGUAGCAGUAAGCUAUAAUACAUAGCGCUCUGAUUGCUCAAAAAUAUAUGUUGGAGUGUGAUCUGAAGGAUUACAUUCGGCUUAUUUCCUAUAAUACAUAUGUUUCUGUUGAGCAAACAUGCAAAAAAACAGUUAGACCGCUGCAACA